GUUUUCCAGCUGUAGCUGAAGGAAAUGGCGCUUUGUGUAUCCCAGAUUCGGCUGAACGCUCAAGGCAGAGAGAAAGGCAGACACAGCAGGAAAGAGGUACACUGCUACUCAGGAAUUAUACACUUGGUGCCGCCAUCAUCCUCAGUAGCAAAAGGCGAGGCAUUAAAGUGGAAAAACGUUGGCCUACAGCUGUGUGCUCUGCUCUUCUGUGCCAUUAGUGCAAUGAAUAUCUUACCAGACUUAUUCUUCUGCACAAUAUGAAGGGAACUUCACCCUGAAGCUAGAAAACAAGAGACAAAAAACCCUGACGGCUGCUUCAGGGGGAGCAGGAACAGGCUUUCUGCCAACUACUAAAUAAAAGUUAAUGCAUAGACUGGAUCAAUUGGCUGAAGGAUCAUGCUACAUACUGGAUCAUUAUACCAGAUGGGUCAUUACUAAACCACCUGCUGUGGGUAUGUCAAGAUGAUGAGAGCACAUUUUAUAAAAUGUCAGAAAUGGACAGAAUGUGUGCAUUCACUGACAGAUCAGUAACCCACUUUCUAUUACAGUAAAUAAAAUGUUUGAGAUGACAUUUCUAUUUGAACAAGGUAAUACACUAAGCCAGAUACACAGAUCUUCACAUCCAGAAGUUUGGUCUGCCCAAUUUGUAGAAGGGGCUGCAACCACGUGGAUGUUCCAUUGUAGCAUUAUGUUAACUGCGUCACAGUAGCAAAUCUUUGCAAACAAAAUUUUGGGAAUAAGUACCUUCUAAUAUAAUCCUGUAUCUGGCAGAAAUUGCAACGACAAGAAAUGAGCCAGCAUUCAAUCUGCAGAGCUGAAAGAUUACAAUGUCCUCAUGCCAGAGUGAGCCUUAAAACAUCAGCUUAAUAGAGAGCCCCCUUCUGACUGCAUUUGUAGGGUCUGUGCAGGAAUAACCUGAUAAAAAAUGUUUCUGCAAUUUAAGCAAAAUAUAAAAAUCCUAACAAGCAA